GAUCGGUCGCCAUGCAACAGCCAACCAUGAACCUCGUCAGGUCCGGAAGGAAGCAGCGAUAAAUGGAGCUGGCUGUGUCGUGGAUCGAUCCCGGUCA
rnacentral:SRP_RNA from 1 species